CAGGAAUCAGUUCUCUUCUGUAGUCCAA
rnacentral:piRNA from 1 species